GUGUUCACUUCAGCAGCACAUAUACUUAAAAAUUGUUGGCAUGAUACAGAGAAGAUUAGCAUGGCCCCUGCAAAAGGAGGACAUGAAAAAUGAAAUGUGUGCAU
ensembl:snRNA U6 U6 spliceosomal RNA